rnacentral:rRNA from 1 species
AGCGCAGGCGGGAAGACAAGUUGGAAGUGAAAACCAUGGGCUCAACCCAUGAAUUGCUUUCAAAACUGUUUUUCUUGAGUAGUGCAGAGGUAGAUGGAAUUCCCGGUGUAGCGGUGGAAUGCGUAGAUAUCGGGAAGAACACCAGUGGCGAAGGCGGCCUACUGGGCACCAACUGACGCUGAGGCUCGAAAGUGUGGGUAGCAAACA